UACGUAGGGAGCGAGCGUUAUCCGGAUUUAUUGGGUGUAAAGGGUGCGUAGACGGGUUAGCAAGUUAGUUGUGAAAUCCCUCGGCUUAACUGAGGAACUGCAACUAAAACUGGUAAUCUUGAGUACAGGAGAGGUAAGUGGAAUUCCUAGUGUAGCGGUGAAAUGCGUAGAUAUUAGGAGGAACACCAGUGGCGAAGGCGACUUACUGGACUGUAACUGACGUUGAGGCACGAAAGUGUGGGUAGCGAACAGG
rnacentral:rRNA from 1 species